AAUUGGAGGGCAAGUCUGGUGCCAGCAGCCGCGGUAAUUCCAGCUCCAAUAGCGUAUAUUAAAGUUGUUGCAGUUAAAAAGCUCGUAGUUGAAUUUCGGGAUCAAUAUUUCGGUCAUGCCGUUGGUAUGCACUGUUAUCAUUGAUUUCUCACCUUCUAAAGAACCGUAAUGCCAUUAAUUUGGUGUUACGGGGAAUUAGGACUGUUACCUUGAAAAAAUUAGAGUGUUUAAAGCAGGCUCACGCUUGAAUACAUUAGCAUGGAAUAAUGAAAUAGGACAUCCGAUUCUAUUUUGUUGGUUUCUAGGAUCGAUGUAAUGAUUAAUAGGGAUAGUUGGGGGCAUUAGUAUUCAAUUGUCAGAGGUGAAAUUCUUGGAUUUAUUGAAGACUAACUACUGCGAGAGCAUUUGCCAAGGAUGUUUUCAUUAAUCAAGAACGAAAGUUAGGGGAUCGAAGACGAUCAGAUACCGUCGUAGUCUUAACCAUAAACUAUGCCGACUAGGGAUCGGAUGAUGUUAAUUUUUUAAUGACUCAUUCGGCGCCUUACGGGAAACCAAAGUGU
rnacentral:rRNA from 1 species